rnacentral:rRNA from 1 species
GUGGGGAAUUUUGGACAAUGGGGGCAACCCUGAUCCAGCAAUGCCGCGUGCAGGAAGAAGGCCUUCGGGUUGUAAACUGCUUUUGUCAGGGAAGAAAUCCUCUGAGAUAAUACCUCGGGGGGAUGACGGUACCUGAAGAAUAAGCACCGGCUAACUACGUGCCAGCAGCCGCGGUAAUACGUAGGGUGCGAGCGUUAAUCGGAAUUACUGGGCGUAAAGCGUGCGCAGGCGGCUUUGCAAGACAGAUGUGAAAUCCCCGGGCUUAACCUGGGAACUGCAUUUGUGACUGCAAGGCUAGAGUACGGCAGAGGGGGAUGGAAUUCCGCGUGUAGCAGUGAAAUGCGUAGAUAUGCGGAGGAACACCAAUGGCGAAGGCAAUCCCCUGGGCCUGUACUGACGCUCAUGCACGAAAGCGUGGGGAGCAAACAGGAUUAGAAACCCGGGUAGUCC